CGGGUGUUUCCCACCACCCAGGGAAACCCUGCUUUGGGGGAGACCCUGCAAGUGAACCAGCGGGGAGGCUAGUGGGACUCCUGCUGGCUGAUGCUGCGUCCUGGGGUCAGGUGGGCACUGACUCACACCUGGGCCCUCUCUGCACCUGCCACCUUAGAGCUGGGUAUUCCUGUGCCAUCACCUGCACUCCGUGGUCAUUGGCAUCCUCUCCUGGGAGCUCCCCCCUCCUCUGGCUUCCACUGUAUUCGGCUGGCUUGGCUCGAGCCGGACUUGGGGCUACGUAUGUCUGCUUCAUCUUGCACCUGCACGAUCCUCAUUAAUCGCCAUGUGUUUCGGGAAGCCAAGGUCCGGCCCCUUCUCGGCAGCCUGGAGCAUCAUCCAGUUUCCAGUUACAGGGAGAGACACCUAAGAAAGCGCCGCCUUCCUUCCCCUCUCUCGGGUUUCUCACCCUCCCUUCCUCACCCUUGUCUUCUUCCCUCCUCUCUCCUCUCCUUCUCCCCCUGCAAGCACACUUCCCCUGGUGACGGAGCAAGCCAGGCACCACACAAAGCACUCAGGAUGCUGGCAUGGACCCCAGCGGCCCUGCUCCCCGUCCGCAGGGGAUGGUGAUGGACCCCCAGCACACCGGUGUUGGGUCGUGAGCUCGUGAGUUGCAGGCACUGCAGGUGCAUGUGGCCAGCCGUCACCUACUGGGGGGAGCGAGUCCCAGGAGGUGGUGGCCUCUACGCCAGGCUGGCGGCUUUGAGGAGCUCAGCAGGCAGGGAUGGGGGUGGGGGUGCAAUUAUUCUCCAUGUAGGACGCGACACCAGCCAUCAGGCCCCUCACCCGGAGGGUCCCAGGACCACCGGUCAACAGGAGGGUCUGGCUUCUCCACCCGAAGGGGGAAGGCCUCACAUCCGGAUACCGACACUGAACAGGAGGGAAGCCAGUGCACGACUCCAGCCACGCCACAGGAGCGUGGGGACACCCGGGAGACCCGGAGGGAAAGACGGAAAAUGGCAAAGGACUCACAGGCUCCGUUUUCUACUUUCUCACUCAACCGAAGAAAGAACCCUCUGGAAACGCAUUUCUAAUCUGUAUAAUCAGCCUUCCCUGGCUGCCAGUUGAGGUUUCACACCUCGCCGCCAUCCCGCUAACUCGGGCCGACCUUUGGUUUUGUGUCUCCCUUGUUGAGAAUCAGGUCAAGGGGGACACUUCACGACGAAGUCAGAGCUAUUUGCGUUAUUAGGAUGUAAUUCUCAUUGGCAAUUAUUCUUAUCUUUGGUCAUAAAUUAUGGAAUCCUUCUUAUGUGGAAGCAUUUACGAGAC
rnacentral:lncRNA from 12 species